rnacentral:lncRNA from 9 species
CAAGCAUUCCAGGGAUUAUGAUUACUCUGAUUAUUAACAAAUUCUUUGAAUAAGAAAUUGAGUAAUAGAAAAAUUCUGGGAAGGGACAGGACAACUAUAUGGUUAAAAAAAAAAAAGACAAGAGAGCAGGAUGAGAGCCUUAGCUUUGGGAACAAUCCUUCAGCUCAUGAGGAGCCCUUGUCUAUGUUCUCAUUAAUAUAGGAAUGUUUGUGUCAGGUUAUCUGCUUGAAUGUGGUGCAAUUUGUAGUCAUUUUGGUCCAUUAUGAGAAUGUUCAUUCUUUUCAGUUUAUUUUCCUUUUCUCCAUCCAGUGUCACAAUGAUCCUCUAAAAGGCUACGUUGAUAUCCAGUGAGAGGCCUGCCCAGACUCAAGCCCAGUACCUGUAUUGAUUCAAGUACCCUCUGAGGCCAGGGAGGGGUCAUCACAGAGUUGCUCUGAAAGUUCCUUGAAGCUGAAUUCGCUGCAAGUUUCACUGAUCAGUCAAGUUUGUUUUGAUCCAGAUCUAGAGACAGACAGCACUCAUCCUUCACCUGUCUUAUGAGCACACCCAUAUCCAUUAUUGGUCUACAAAGGGGAGAAGAAGGUACUGCAAGAAGUGCUGGCGGAAAAUCAACUGAAGUGACGGGACUGACUCAUCUGGCCCAGCCGCCUUUGGUAAUUGAUACCCAGAGCAUCAGACAAUAAUAGAAAUGAGAACAAAGUCUUUCUUUUCUUUUCAUUUUCAUUCACAUUGGUAUGUGUGCACAUUUACGCAUGGAUGUAUUUAGGUAUGCAUGCCUGUGUAUAUUUAAUUUAUUAGCAGUCAUGGCCUCUAUAGUCAGAAGACAGAAUGUUUCCUUGCUUGGAACCUGUAAAAGUGAUUUACCCAAGACAUGUUAACUUUUGGAUAAAGGAGAGAUAAAUAAAUCUACCAUGCCUCUCAUUAUUUUCCUUGAUAAAAAUAUUUUUUUUUCAGUUUUUCUUACCCUAAUGAGGACGUCUAUUUAUUUUUGUGACUUACUCAUUUUUGCAGGAUAAUGUAAAUUCUAGUCACUUCAUUGAAACAUACUUCCCCACUGCUUUGCUAAACAGAAAACUUUAAUAUCUAGGUUUACAACUAGCCAUCUAGUCCUUCCAUCUGAUGGUUUCAUUCCUUGUCUGAUUUUGUACUUAAAUUCUCACCAUGCCAUAGAUUACUUUCAGAUUUAUAGAAUAUCAAAUUGUAGGUUAUUUUUGAUGUUAAUAAUUAUAUUUUUGUUUAUAUACACUUAUAUAUAUAUAUUAUGCGGC